GACGAACGCUGGCGGCGUGCUUAACACAUGCAAGUCGAACGGAAAGGCCCUGCUUUUGUGGGGUGCUCGAGUGGCGAACGGGUGAGUAACACGUGGGUAACCUGCCCUUGACUUUGGGAUAACUUCAGGAAACUGGGGCUAAUACCGGAUAGGAGCUCCUGCUGCAUGGUGGGGGUUGGAAAGUUUCGGCGGUUGGGGAUGGACUCGCGGCUUAUCAGCUUGUUGGUGGGGUAGUGGCUUACCAGGGCUUUGACGGGUAGCCGGCCUGAGAGGGUGAACGGGCACAAUGGGACUGAGAGACGGCCCAGACUCCUACGGGAGGCAGCAGUGGGGAAUAUUGCACGAUGGGCGGAAGCCUGAUGCAGCAACGCCGCGUGCGGGAUGACGGCCUUCGGGUUGUAAACCGCUUUCGCCUGUGACGAAGCGUGAGUGACGGUAAUGGGUAAAGAAGCACCGGCUAACUACGUG
rnacentral:rRNA from 1 species